rnacentral:rRNA from 1 species
GAUGAACGCUGGCGGUAUGCUUAACACAUGCAAGUCGAACGGACUCUUCGGAGUUAGUGGCGGACAGGUGAGUAACGCGUGAGAAUCUGGCUUUGGGUUCGGGACAACCACUGGAAACGGUGGCUAAUACCGGAUGUGCCGAGAGGUAAAAGAGAAAUUGCCUGAAGAUGAGCUCGCGUCUGAUUAGCUAGUUGGUGAGGUAAAGGCUCACCAAGGCAGCGAUCAGUAGCUGGUCUGAGAGGAUGACCAGCCACACUGGGACUGAGACACGGCCCAGACUCCUACGGGAGGCAGCAGUGGGGAAUUUUCCGCAAUGGGCGAAAGCCUGACGGAGCAAUACCGCGUGAGGGAAGAAGGCUCUUGGGUUGUAAACCUCUUUUCUUAGGGAAGAACAAAAUGACGGUACCUAAGGAAUCAGCAUCGGCUAACUCCGUG